UACGGGGGGGGGCAAGCGUUGUUCGGAAUUAUUGGGCGUAAAGAGCUCGUAGGCGGUCUGUCGCGUCUGCUGUGAAAACUCAGGGCUUAACCCUGAGCUUGCAGUGGGUACGGGCAGACUAGAGUGCGGUAGGGGGAGACUGGAAUUCCUGGUGUAGCGGUGAAAUGCGCAGAUAUCAGGAGGAACACCGGUGGCGAAGGCGGGUCUCUGGGCCGUAACUGACGCUGAGGAGCGAAAGCAUGGGGAGCGAACAGG
rnacentral:rRNA from 1 species